rnacentral:rRNA from 1 species
GGUUGGGUAACACUAACUGGAGGACCGAACCGACUAAUGUUGAAAAAUUAGCGGAUGACUUGUGGCUGGGGGUGAAAGGCCAAUCAAACCGGGAGAUAGCUGGUUCUCCCCGAAAGCUAUUUAGGUAGCGCCUCGUGAAUUCAUCUUCGGGGGUAGAGCACUGUUUCGGCUAGGGGGGUCAUCCCGACUUACCAACCCGAUGCAAACUACGAAUACCGAAGAAUGUUAUCACGGGAGACACACGGCGGGUGCUAACGUCCGUCGUGAAGAGGGAAACAACCCAGACCGCCAGCUAAGGUCCCAAAGUCAUGGUUAAGUGGGAAACGAUGUGGGAAGGCACAGACAGCCAGGAU